CGCUUGAUAAGUGUGAUUUAUUAAAAAACCCGCAGAAACUUUCCUUUAAUCAUUUCUGUUUGUUUUGCCUUUGACGAUGUAACCUUGCUUAAUUAGGCGAUUAAAGAAUGAAUAUUCAUGUGGAGUGAAGUAACACAAAGUUAGAAUUCAUCAUAAAUUAAUUUUUAUUUUAAUGUUAAAAGUUAGUCAAAUUGUUACUAGAUGGCGUUAACGCGGUGGAUAAAAUCUUCUUUACCAUCAACACACCGCCAUUUGCAUGAUUUGCGUAUUUACGACUUGUUUAUGAAAUUAUUUAUCAGAAUCUCGCUUAAUAUGUGUGAUAUAUUAAAAAACCCGCAGAAACCUUCCUUUAAUCAUUUCUGUUUAUUUUGCCCUUGAGGAUGUUCCCUUCGUUAAUUAGGCGAGUAAAGAC